GACGAACGCUGGCGGCGUGCUUAACACAUGCAAGUCGAACGGAAGGGCCCUGCUUGCAGGGUGCUCGAGUGGCGAACGGGUGAGUAACACGUGGGUGAUCUGCCCCUUACUUUGGGAUAAGCCUGGGAAACUGGGUCUAAUACUGGAUAGGACCAUGCUGUAGGUGGUGUGGUGGAAAGAUUAGUUUCGGUAAGGGAUGAGCUCGCGGCCUAUCAGCUUGUUGGUGGGGUAAUGGCCUACCAAGGCGUCGACGGGUAGCCGGCCUGAGAGGGUGGACGGCCACAUUGGGACUGAGAUACGGCCCAGACUCCUACGGGAGGCAGCAGUGGGGAAUAUUGCACAAUGGGCGCAAGCCUGAUGCAGCGACGCCGCGUGGGGGAUGACGGCCUUCGGGUUGUAAACUCCUUUCAGCCAUGACGAAGCCCUUGUGGUGACGGUAGUGGUAGAAGAAGCACCGGCUAACUACGUG
rnacentral:rRNA from 1 species